CCUACGGGGGGCAGCAGUGGGGAAUAUUGCACAAUGGGCGCAAGCCUGAUGCAGCCAUGCCGCGUGUGUGAAGAAGGCCUUCGGGUUGCAAAGCACUUUCAGCGGGGAGGAAGGCGGUGAGGUUAAUAACCUCAUCGAUUGACGUUACCCGCAGAAGAAGCACCGGCUAACUCCGUGCCAGCAGCCGCGGUAAUACGGAGGGUGCAAGCGUUAAUCGGAAUUACUGGGCGUAAAGCGCACGCAGGCGGUCUGUCAAGUCGGAUGUGAAAUCCCCGGGCUCAACCUGGGAACUGCAUUCGAAACUGGCAGGCUAGAGUCUUGUAGAGGGGGGUAGAAUUCCAGGUGUAGCGGUGAAAUGCGUAGAGAUCUGGAGGAAUACCGGUGGCGAAGGCGGCCCCCUGGACAAAGACUGACGCUCAGGUGCGAAAGCGUGGGGAGCAAACAGGAUUAGAUACCCUUGUAGUC
rnacentral:rRNA from 1 species